rnacentral:rRNA from 1 species
AACUAACGCUGGCGGCGUGCCUAACACAUGCAAGUCGUACGAGAAAGCCGGCUUCGGCUGGUGAGUAAAGUGGCGCACGGGUGAGUAACGCGUGGAUAAUCUGCCCUUAAGUGUGGAAUAACGUACCGAAAGGUGCGCUAAUACCGCAUAAUGCCUGGCAACACAAGUUGUCCGGCCAAAGAAGGCCUCUGUUUACAAGCUUUCGCUUCAGGAUGAGUCCGCGUACCAUUAGCUUGUUGGUGGGGUAAUGGCCUACCAAGGCUGCGAUGGUUAGCUGGUCUGAGAGGAUGAUCAGCCACACUGGAACUGAGACACGGUCCAGACUCCUACGGGAGGCAGCAGUGAGGAAUAUUGCGCAAUGGGGGCAACCCUGACGCAGCAACGCCGCGUGAGUGAGGAAGGUUUUCGGACUGUAAAGCUCUGUCGAGCGGGAAGAAGUGUACCAUGGCUAAUAUCCAUGAUAUUGACGUACCGCUAGAG